CAAGAACAGUGGAACAGCAGCGAAUUGCAUGAAUUUCGCAGAGGUGUAUGUACAACGACAUCAAUGACAAUCGAAAAAUUGGGACACUGACGACAAUUUUUUUUAUUUUUUUUUAUAGGUAUAUUUAUUUUGAAGCAGCAAGAUGGCGCCGCUCGCCUAAUACGAGUAUGUACUGGGUAUGCGCCAGCAACAAAUCUAAACUAAAGUGAUCAGCUUGAUUUUCGUAUUUAUUAUUGAGUACUUAAAAUACAUAGCAUACACAAGUACAUACAUAUGUAUGUUUUUUGGCCUAUAUACAGCUGUAUUUACUGUGAGCUCUAAGAAUUUGCAAUUGAUGGUUGUAGUAGCCAAAGCCAGUUGGAAAACUACAUAGUAGAGAAAUUAUGGCGUGAAAGACAAAGUGAGCAAGCGGAAAAAGGUGUCGUCGACAUUCAUACCCAAGAAAAAAAAGCAUGUGGCAUUUUGGUUCAAAAUGAAACUAGUUACUUUGCGAAUAGUUGGUAACUAGUUGAAAAUUCGACACUGGAUUUUAUUUAAAUUAUUUUGAUGCAAUUAAAUUUGAUCACAAUUCAUGGCCAGUAAAUAUAAGUACACACUAUAUACAUACGGUAAAUGUAUCAAGCGUAAGGCGGAGCUCAAAUGCCUUAAAAACAACAGCAAAAAUCAAAUAAACAAACAAUAAUUAAGUAAACGGUAAUGAAAGAAAAAAAAAACGAAAUUCACACGAAAAAUUCAAACUGAAAAGGGACGUCGCACAGUGGUCGGAGAGGCUGUGUUUCACGCAAAAAAAUUUAAUUAUAAAUGCAGUAUCGUAGUAUUAUUGUUAUGCUAAAUCUUAAUAUGCCAUACAAUUUUUUAGUUUGACAGUUGACAACUGUCAAAUUAUUUGUCAAUUUCUCUUAAACUAAGAAUUUUUUUCGAAAAUAUCUGAUUAAAUUAAAACCUUGAGAAUUGACAGCUGUCAAAUGGGCUGCUAAUUUUUCUAAAAAUAAGAAAAUAUUUUUUAAAACGCUACUGAUAAAGGUUCAUGAAUUGUACGUAGCUAGAGAGCUGACAGUUGUCGAAUGGGCUGCAAAUUUUUCUAGAAAUUAGGAGAGAAUUAAACGUACUAGGUUUUCGGGCUCACAGCUCUCGAGUUCUAUACCACAUUCAAACUUAUUCAGUUGACAAGUAGGCUCCCUUGUUUUUAUAAAUAAAUAUUUUUCACUUUAUACGAAAUUCGUUAUUUCCAAAACUUCAAUUUUCUCAUUUUCAAAUAAAGUUAUUCAUAUUUGACAAUUCAAUAAUUUAUUUAAAUGUCGGACGUCAUAUUGGAUUUUAGAUUUUGAAUUAUCAAAACCUAGUUUGGAAUUUGUAGUAAAAAUUUCAUGAAAAUUGAGUAGUUUUUAAUAUUGGAUUUGCUAUUUUGCAUUUUUGAAAAUUGUCUUCAGGUUUGUUAAGAUAUGUAUGUACAUCUCAUAAAUUAUAUGGUGGUAAAUAUAUAGUCUAAAUUACUUUAAUCCCUAAUGUUUUAUAAUAAAAUUUUUUAUGUUAGAUAUUAUUGAAACUACUAAUCAGAUUUGAGUGCGUUGAACUCUUCUGAAUAAGAGAAUACCUUUAUUCCGGUCAAAUUUAUCACAGUUUUCAAAAAUGCCUUUUUCGUGUAAAACAUGGCCUCUCCGACCACUGUGCGCCGCCGUCAACUGCGAGAGCAGAGCCUUCAUUAAAGCCGCCGCUCUGCAAAUGAAAUGGAAAUUGAAAAGCUCCAAAGGCAACUAAAACACUUCAUCGUCAAACAGUAAGCACAAGCAGACAACAGCAACAACAACAGCAAACAAUAAAAAAAACUAAAACAGACUUUGCACCAUUUUUCAAUGGCACGAGCGCCGAGAACAUUGAACUAUUUCCCAUUUAUUAUUUAUUUUUAUUCUUUUGGUUUGUUUUUACGACGCGAUUAUUUUUUAUGGAAAGUGUUGAGCUAUGUAUGUAUGUAUGUAUGUACAAUCAACGCCGCCGCUUCGCACGGCCCGACUUCCAGCAAUACAUAUGUAUGUACAAACAGAUACAAGAACGAGUACCUACAUACAUACCCGUACCUUAAUACAGCGAAAACGUACAGUGGUAUUGGUGGCGGUGGGGGCUACACUGUUGAAAAUGGCAAUCUACAAUCAGCAGCAAAACAGCUCAAAACUAACAGCCAACAGACAGCGUAACUAGCAAUAUUUUGUCUUUGAAAUGCUUAAGACUGUCGACUGUCGACUGUCGCUUCGAUGGAAUGGAAUAGAAAGAAUGGCAUGAAUUAGGGGGAGUGGAGCGCAAAAAAGCUCAAUGCGACUGGCGGUGGCGAAGGACAGUGAGAAAAAAUUUCGCAGCUUAGCCAUUUAACCAGCGGUAAAAGAAGUGAUACAUACCACUGAUAACUCGUUGCAAAAAAACCUGCAUAAACCCUUUGCUCUCUAAAACUAGCAGACUAAUUUUUUUGCGUGUUUCUGCAAAAGCGGAUAUUUUGAGUUAGCACUUUUUUGACGAAAGUAUAUGUUAAAUACAAAACUUUCAUGGGUAUGUUGAA